AUGGAGGAUAAGGGAUUGGGAAUGAAGGGAAUCGACUUCUCGUCUCUCAGAAUCGACGAGGACGAGAUCCCGACGGAGGAGGACGAGUACUCCUCCUGCUCCGAGGACGAGAUCUACACGGACGACGACGAAGACGAGGAGGAGGAGGAGGACGACGACGAAGCGGAGGACGUCCGGUCGCCUACCCACCCCCACGAUCUGGACUCGUUUCCGCAGUCGAUCCUUCUCGACAUACACGCCUACAUCGACGACCGCACCAACGCCACCACCGCCGAUGCCCACCGCAUCCGGGUUACCUUCUGGAUCGCCCACCCGCCGCGCGUCUCCUGCCUCACGGUCCACUCCAACGGCGUGGAACCCAGCGAGUUCACCAAUACGCCAUGGUGGUCGCCGCCCAGGACGACCUGGUCCUCCUCCGCGCCGCUGUUGGCCCUCAGAAACACCUCAGUCCCACCGGUUACAUCAAUCAUUACUAUGUCUACCAGGCCGGCACCAACCCAACUCUUCGCCGGCUAG
rnacentral:rRNA from 1 species